GGGGGCGACCUGGUUUCGACGGGAUGACGAAGACCAUUGGCUGCAUGUAGUGUUUUCCCAAAAUCACUUUAAAAAAUUGGACGCCAAUUAUAAACGGCGAAUCUAACUACGCACUAGCUGCUUAAUUAAAUAGUAGCUCGUUCCUU
rnacentral:tmRNA from 1 species